UACGGAGGAUCCAAGCGUUAUCCGGAAUUACUGGGCGUAAAGAGUUGCGUAGGUGGCAUGGUAAGUUGCUAGUGAAAGCGUUCGGCUCAACCGAAUAUACAUUAGCAAAACUGCCAAGCUAGAGGACGAGAGAGGUAAUUGGAAUUCCUAGUGUAGGAGUGAAAUCCGUAGAUAUUAGGAGGAACACCGAUGGCGUAGGCAGAUUACUGGCUCGUUCCUGACACUAAGGCACGAAAGCGUGGGGAGCAAACGGG
rnacentral:rRNA from 1 species